rnacentral:rRNA from 1 species
UANUGCAGUCGAACGAACUUCCGUUAAUUGAUUAUGACGUACUUGUACUGAUUGAGAUUUUAACACGAAGUGAGUGGCGAACGGGUGAGUAACACGUGGGUAACCUGCCCAGAAGUAGGGGAUAACACCUGGAAACAGAUGCUAAUACCGUAUAACAGAGAAAACCGCAUGGUUUUCUUUUAAAAGAUGGCUCUGCUAUCACUUCUGGAUGGACCCGCGGCGUAUUAGCUAGUUGGUGAGGUAAAGGCUCACCAAGGCAGUGAUACGUAGCCGACCUGAGAGGGUAAUCGGCCACAUUGGGACUGAGACACGGCCCAGACUCCUACGGGAGGCAGCAGUAGGGAAUCUUCCACAAUGGACGCAAGUCUGAUGGAGCAACGCCGCGUGAGUGAAGAAGGGUUUCGGCUCGUAAAGCUCUGUUGUUAAAGAAGAACGUGGGUAAGAGUAACUGUUUACCCAGUGACGGUAUUUAACCAGAAAGCCACGGCUAACUACGUGCCAGCAGCCGCGGUAAUACGUAGGUGGCAAGCGUUAUCCGGAUUUAUUGGGCGUAAAGCGAGCGCAGGCGGUCUUUUAAGUCUAAUGUGAAAGCCUUCGGCUCAACCGAAGAAGUGCAUUGGAAACUGGGAGACUUGAGUGCAGAAGAGGACAGUGGAACUCCAUGUGUAGCGGUGAAAUGCGUAGAUAUAUGGAAGAACACCAGUGGCGAAGGCGGCUGUCUGGUCUGCAACUGACGCUGAGGCUCGAAAGCAUGGGUAGCGAACAGGAUUAGAUACCCUGGUAGUCCAUGCCGUAAACGAUGAUUACUAAGUGUUGGAGGGUUUCCGCCCUUCAGUGCUGCAGCUAACGCAUUAAGUAAUCCGCCUGGGGAGUACGACCGCAAGGUUGAAACUCAAAAGAAUUGACGGGGGCCCGCACAAGCGGUGGAGCAUGUGGUUUAAUUCGAAGCUACGCGAAGAACCUUACCAGGUCUUGACAUCUUCUGACAGUCUAAGAGAUUAGAGGUUCCCUUCGGGGACAGAAUGACAGGUGGUGCAUGGUUGUCGUCAGCUCGUGUCGUGAGAUGUUGGGUUAAGUCCCGCAACGAGCGCAACCCUUAUUACUAGUUGCCAGCAUUAAGUUGGGCACUCUAGUGA